UAAUACGAAGGGACCUAGCGUAGUUCGGAAUUACUGGGCUUAAAGAGUUCGUAGGUGGUUAAAAAAGUUGGUGGUGAAAUCCCAGAGCUUAACUCUGGAACUGCCAUCAAAACUUUUUAGCUAGAGUAUGAUAGAGGAAAGCAGAAUUUCUAGUGUAGAGGUGAAAUUCGUAGAUAUUAGAAAGAAUACCGAUUGCGAAGGCAGCUUUCUGGAUCAUUACUGACACUGAGGAACGAAAGCAUGGGUAGCGAAGAGGAUUAGAUACCCUCGUAGUCCAUGCCGUAAACGAUGUGUGUUAGAUGUUGGAAAUUUAUUUUCAGUAUCGCAGCGAAAGCGUUAAACACACCGCCUGGGGAGUACGACCGCAAGGUUAAAACUCAAAUGAAUUGACGGGGACCCGCACAAGUAGUGGAGCAUGUGGUUUAAUUCGAAGAUACGCGCAGAACCUUACCAACACUUGACAUGUUUGUCGCGACUUUAAGAGAUUAAAGUCUUCGGUUCGGCCGGACAAAACACAGGUGCUGCAUGGCUGUCGUCAGCUCGUGUCGUGAGAUGUUGGGUUAAGUCCCGCAACGAGCGCAACCCUCACUUUUAGUUGCCACCAUUUAGUUGGGCACUCUGAAAGAACUGCCAGUGAUAAGCUGGAGGAAGGUGGGGAUGACGUCAAGUCCUCAUGGCCCUUACGUGUUGGGCUACACACGUGCUACAAUGGUAUCUACAACAGGAAGCAAAAUCGCGAGGUUAAGCAAAUCCUUAAAAGAUACCUCAGUUCGGAUUGCACUCUGCAACUCGAGUGCAUGAAGCUGGAAUUACUAGUAAUCGUGGAUCAGCGUGCCACGGUGAAUGCGUUCCCGGGUCUUGUACACACCGCCCGUCACACCAUGGGAGUUGGUUCUACCUUAAGGCAAGGUUUCAAACCCUUGACCACGGUAUAGUCAGCGACUGGGGUGAAGUCGUAACAAGGUAGCCG
rnacentral:rRNA from 1 species